UCCCUGGUGGCUCAGAUGGUAAAGCAUCUGCCUGCAAUGCGGGAGACCUGGGUUCAAUUCCUGGGUCUGGAA
rnacentral:tRNA from 1 species